rnacentral:rRNA from 1 species
UACGGGGGGGGCAAGCGUUGUUCGGAAUUACUGGGCGUAAAGGGCUUGUAGGUGGCCAACUAAGUCAGACGUGAAAUCCCUCGGCUUAACCGGGGAACUGCGUCUGAUACUGGGUGGCUUGAAUCCGGGAGAGGGAUGCGGAAUUCCAGGUGUAGCGGUGAAAUGCGUAGAUAUCUGGAGGAACACCGGUGGCGAAGGCGGCAUCCUGGACCGGCAUUGACGCUGAGGCGCGAAAGCCAGGGGAGCAAACAGG